rnacentral:rRNA from 1 species
CGAACGGGUGAGUAAUGCGUGACCAACCUGCCCCAUGCUCCAGAAUAGCUCUUGGAAACGGGUGGUAAUGCUGGAUGCUCCAACUUGACGCAUGUCUUGUUGGGAAAGUGUUUAGUGGCAUGGGAUGGGGUCGCGUCCUAUCAGCUUGUAGGCGGGGUAAUGGCCCACCUAGGCUUCGACGGGUAACCGGCCUGAGAGGGCGGACGGCCACAUUGGGACUGAGAUACGGCCCAGACUCCUACGGGAGGCAGCAGCU